UGGGGAAUAUUGGACAAUGGGGGCAACCCUGAUCCAGCAAUGCCGCGUGUGUGAAGAAGGUCUUCGGAUUGUAAAGCACUUUCGACGGGGACGAUGAUGACGGUACCCGUAGAAGAAGCCCCGGCUAACUUCGUGCCAGCAGCCGCGGUAAUACGAAGGGGGCUAGCGUUGCUCGGAAUGACUGGGCGUAAAGGGCGUGUAGGCGGUUUACACAGUCAGAUGUGAAAUCCCCGGGCUUAACCUGGGAGCUGCAUUUGAUACGUGUAGACUAGAGUGUGAGAGAGGGUUGUGGAAUCCCCAGUGUAGAGGUGAAAUUCGUAGAUAUUGGGAAGAACACCGGUGGCGAAGGCGGCAACCUGGCUCAUGACUGACGCUGAGGCGCGAAAGCGUGGGGAGCAAACAGGAUUAGAUACCCUGGUAGUCCACGCUGUAAACGAUGUGUGCUAGAUGUUGGGUAACUUUGUUAUUCAGUGUCGCAGUUAACGCGUUAAGCACACCGCCUGGGGAGUACGGCCGCAAGGUUGAAAC
rnacentral:rRNA from 1 species